UUGGAGCCAAUUAAAUCACGUCCCAAAGGUAAAGGAUUAAAGAAAUAUUGAAAAUGACUUAAAAUUGGACAUAAAAAUGGAUAUUAAUUUAUUAUUUCAUUAUUUUGCACCUCAUCAAAUGUACAUAAAUCAUAGAAAUGACCUGUGAACCACUGAAUCAGUGGCGCUGAUAACAUACUAGUUUGGCAAAGAUCACAAUGGUUAGUACGUCUUUAAAUCAAGAUGAGAUACGUUGUGGUAAUUUACUGUCUUUGUUCACUCGUUUAUGUUUGUAGGUGUUCACUGAAUUGCAGUUAUUCAGAUGGUAUAUUCACUUGUGAAAAAAAUAUUACAUAUUCCUAUACAAAUGGCCAAUAUAACAUCACAGUGAAUCACUGGUCACUUACAGAAGUCUACUUCUCUGAAGAUGAGUUUAAUGAGUGUUCCAAACAUAGUAAAGUCCUGAACUAUGAUGACCUACUCGCAUAUAGGCGCAAAAGGUAUGUAAUUAAGGUUUGCGAAAAAUGCAAGAGAGAUGAAGUACGGGUCUGUUCUAAUCGGUGUUAUUGUAAAAAAAGAUUUAAUUUUCAUAAUUGAUUGAAAUUAAUUGAAGUAUAUAAUAUGAAUAAAAUACGACAUGAGUUUACACUUA